rnacentral:rRNA from 1 species
CUUGUUGCAGUUAAAAAGCUCGUAGUUGAAUUUCUGCGUUAUCGAGUUAUUGACUCUUGUCUUUAAUCGAUUUCGCUUUUGGGAUUUAUCCCUUUUUACUUUGAGAAAAUUAGAGUGUUUCAAGCAGACUUUUGUCUUGAAUACUUCAGCAUGGAAUAAUAGAGUAGGACUUUGGUUCUAUUUUGUUGGUUUUUGAACCUUAGUAAUGGUUAAUAGGAACGGUUGGGGGCAUUCGUAUUUAACUGUCAGAGGUGAAAUUCUUAGAUUUGUUAAAGACGAACUACUGCGAAAGCAUUUGCCAAGGACGUUUCCAUUAAUCAAGAACGAAAGUUAGGGGAUCGAAGACGAUCAGAUACCGUCGUAGUCCUAACCAUAAACU